rnacentral:rRNA from 1 species
GACAGAGGGUGCAAACGUUGUUCGGAAUUACUGGGCGUAAAGCGCGUGUAGGUGGCUAUGCAAGUCGGAUGUGAAAGCCCUCGGCUCAACCGGGGAAGUGCACCCGAAACUGCAAAGCUAGAGUCUCGGAGAGGAUCGUGGAAUUCUCGGUGUAGAGGUGAAAUUCGUAGAUAUCGAGAGGAAUACCGGUGGCGAAGGCGGCAUCCUGGACCGGCAUUGACGCUGAUGAGCGAAAGCUAGGGGAGCAAACGGG